GUUUCGAGUCACCCCAUUCCAGUCUACUGAAAGCACUUGAACCUGCCGGUGUUUGCUGUGAGAGUAGCCUGAUUAAAUCAAUCAGAAGAUUCUAUAAUGAAUUGCGACAAAAUGGAUGCGAACAAUGAAGUCGAAUGCGCUAUGUGCAAGAUCGGGCUGGCAAGCCUCAAUAACAUUCCAAUGGAGCUCCGAAAAUUUGUUCGUGAAGCUGCCUAUGAGUGGUCGUUCUUGUCGUCCAACAGGUUCUACAAUGAGCAAGACAUACCCCGCCGUGGGCGCCACAAUUUUCUUGUCCCAAUUUAUCAACCCGUGGAGGACUUCCAAGAGUAUAACGCUUACCGCCGUGUCAAGAGGACCUGCGGAAGCAAGUAAAUUAACAGAGAAAAUGAGAGAAGAAUACAGAGUACGGAGAUUAAAGCCGAUAUCAUUUUGGAAAAGAGACUACAUUGAACUUCAGAACUUUAGGAUUAAGAUACCCUGACUAUUAUUUGUACUUACACCUUGAUAUGUAUACAUAUGUACUCUUCUAUAUGUAUGUAUAUAUUUAAAGGGGUAAGUACAAAUGGUAAUUAUUUGUAGGUAUAUUAUAUAUUUAUGUAUGCAUCUAUUUCUAAAUCUUUAUAACACGUAUACUGUAUGUUUAUAUUUAUUCCCUUCCGCCUAAAAAUUGUGAGCCAAAUUAUAUUUGCGAAUUAUUGUAUAUUAUAUAUAUUAUGUAUCAUGAAAUAAGAUAAAUAUUUUUCAAUUUGCAUUGCAAUUGUAAUAUGUUUUUGCUUGCAACUGAUUCAGGACUAAUAUCCCUAUUGUUUUGUAUAGCUAUUAAUUUUAUUGUAAGCGUAUUUAUGAAUAUGUAUUUAAUUAGAUAAGAUGUAAUUUGUAGAUACGUUAUUGGUUCUAGGCAUCGAUGGAUCGAUCCAUUGGAGUUUGUUCUCUCUGCCGAUGCCUAGUACCUUUCACAAAGUGGUUGUUUUGCUUAUGGGUUGAGGUAUAUUGACUUGUUUUUUUUUUUUAAUAAAACAUGAAAAUAUUCUCAUCCGUAAGGAAAUUCAAUCAUUAUUGGUUUUUUAUUAAUAUUAUUAUUGCGUUAAAGAAUUGGUUUUGCCGUUUGCGUAUUGCACUUAUUGUUAAUUAUAAAAAUUACGGAUAAUUACCAUCGUUACUAUAAUUUCGUAUUUAAUUCUUAUUCGAAUUUACGAAAAAAAUAAAUAGCUUUCGAUAUUUUAUAAUUUAAACAAAAAGUUUAGGUCUAUCAUUAAGAUAUGAUUUCUUAUAUUUUCAUAACUUUUGAACGAACUGUUUGGUUUCAAAAUUAAUUUGUAUUGUUAUAAUUUUUAGAAUGUAAGUUUAGAUUUGAAAAAAACAUUGUCGAAAGUCUGCAUGGCAAGUCCGAUUGCAAGACGUUUCGAUAGGGACAUUUUUCCAUUGUGAUUACGGCUCAAUUGUCCAAGUAUUCUCUCUCGUGGAUGUCAACGUACUUCAUAUAUUCCCUCUUAAUAAAUGUGUCAACAUUA